rnacentral:rRNA from 1 species
UACGUAGGCAGCAAGCGUUGUUCGGAGUUACUGGGCGUAAAGGGUGCGUAGGCGGUCCUAUAAGUAUGGUGUGAAAUCUCCCGGCUUAACUGGGAGGGUGCGCUAUAGACUGUGGGACUAGAGUGUGGGAGGGGAAAGUGGAAUUCCUGGUGUAGCGGUGAAAUGCGUAGAUAUCAGGAGGAACACCGGUGGUGUAAACGGCUUUCUGGACCAUAACUGACGCUGAGGCACGAAAGCGUGGGUAGCAAACAGG